GAUGAACGCUGGCGGCGUGCCUAAUACAUGCAAGUCGAGCGAACAGACGAGGAGCUUGCUCCUCUGACGUUAGCGGCGGACGGGUGAGUAACACGUUGAUAACCUACCUAUAAGACUGGGAGAACUUCGGGAAACCGGAGCUAAUACCGGAUAAUAUAUUGAACCGCAGGGAUCAAUAGUGAAAGACGGUUUUGCUGUCACUUAUAGAUGGAUCCGCGCUGCAUUAGCUAGUUGGUAAGGUAACGGCUUACCAAGGCAACGAUCCGUAGCCGACCUGAGAGGGUGAUCGGCCACACUGGAACUGAGACACGGUCCAGACUCCUACGGGAGGCAGCAGUAGGGAAUCUUCCGCAAUGGGCGAAAGCUUGACGGAGCCACGCCGCGUGAGUGAUGAAGGUCUUCGGAUCGUAAAACUCUGUUAUUAGGGAAGAACAAAUGUGUAAGUAACUAUGCCCGUCUUGACGGUACCUAAUCAGAAAGCCACGGCUAACUACGUG
rnacentral:rRNA from 1 species